GACAUGUGAAAUUCAUCAAAUUAACACGAAGGUAGUAUAUUACAAUUUUUCCAAUCUAUUACAAAGCAGAUAUGUCUAUUAUUACAAUAUAUAAUAUGCAUUCUUGGAUAAGUAGAGCUUCACACAAUUGGCUUCAAGGCUUCGCACUUCAACUUUCUUAGGCCUGGAGGUCCUGUAGAAGAAACAAUCAUAUUUGUAAGAGCUACAAGAUACAGAUUAAGAAUAGAAACAAGGCACAAAAACAAGCAAUCCAUGGCGGAAACCUUGAGGCGAAAAAUGUUUCUGAACUCAGAUGAGAGAAGUUUGAGUCUAGCCAAUUAAACCAACUACCACUGAUGUAACCUAUAAAGAUGGACUGAACAAUAACAAUACAAAGAAAUGACAGCUGAAUUAUGAAAAGUCCUAAAAUUGACCCCUUUUGGCCUUAAUUAAUUGUGUGAAGCUGAAAUGAUUAAUCUAAAGUAAGAUAUACCGGUAUGUAGGCAAAAAAUGUAGUUGAAUGACCUAUACUUGAAUAACCCAAAAAAGAAGGCAGCAUCAAAUACUAUAGUAAUUAUUAUAGGACAUGAUAUAAUAAGGUACUCUCACUGGUUAAGGUACUCUGCAGUACACGUACGUCGUACCAAAGUAUGCGUCCAGACAGUAAGCAGACACAAUUAGCUAGUCUUGUACGCACAUUUUUCCACAUGUAUUUAUAAUAAUUAUUUUUUAGUAAUAUAUGUUGCCAAUGCUAUGUAUCACUAAUUCAGUCCAACUAAACCGACAAAUGCUACGGGCAGAAGUCCCAUCAGCAUCACAAAUCAGAAGAACAUACCCCCCUAAGUCUGAACAACUAGUCCUCGCUUGCGACUACCCAGAUGAUACAAUAAAACCCAUGCGAUUUAGUAUGAUAACAAAGUGCUGGUUUGACCGCCAACUCAAAACAACAAUUAAUUUGUACACUAUCUGACACGCAAGUGAAAGACCACUAACAGAUGCUCUAUCUAACAGUACCUCGGUGAUGACACACUCUGGAGCCAACUUCCUCAAAUGCACAAACAGUAGUGUAUGGAAAUCUGAGUUCAAAUGCUACAGGAGUAACCAGUUUUUUCAAAGUGUAAAUCAUGUGUUGAACAAAGCAGAAGAAUCAUAAACAAACAGAACUACUGCAGAUCCCAUUGCAAUGUCUAACAAGUAGAUUAGAAGUAUCUCUGCUACUGUACUAACCUCAAAUGAGAGGCGAACCUAUUGCUUUAAGUUAAGCCAAAUGUGAGCUAGUAGUGAGUGCCAAGUGCCAUCCAGAUUGGAAACUACUCUAACGACAUUCAUCUACAAUGAAAACUGAUACAUUUUGGCAUCAAGAUUUCUUCUUGCCAAAAUAUGACAGCAAGCACUGCCAAGACAUGAUCCCCACAUUUUUCACUCGCAGCAAAAGUGCAAAGCAUGCUAUCACACCAAAUAGACAAAUCAAGAAACGCCUCCUAUCAAGUGCAAAGCAUGCUAUCACACCAGAAAGAUUUGGCAACAAAUCACAAGAGAGCGAGCGAGCAGUAAGAUCAUACCCGUUCCUUCCUAUGCAUCGCCUCUCCCGCGCGCAACGAGUUGAACUG
rnacentral:lncRNA from 1 species